AGUGAACGCUGGCGGUAGGCCUAACACAUGCAAGUCGAACGGCAGCACAGUAAGAGCUUGCUCUUACGGGUGGCGAGUGGCGGACGGGUGAGGAAUACAUCGGAAUCUACUUUUUCGGGGGGGAUAACGUAGGGAAACUUACGCUAAUACCGCAUACGACCUACGGGUGAAAGCAGUGGAUCUUCGGACCUUGCGCGAUUGAAUUAGCCGAUGUCGGAUUAGCUAGUUGGCGGGGUAAAGGCCCACCAAGGCGACGAUCCGUAGCUGGUCUGAGAGGAUGAUCAGCCACACUGGAACUGAGACACGGUCCAGACUCCUACGGGAGGCAGCAGUGGGGAAUAUUGGACAAUGGGCGCAAGCCUGAUCCAGCCAUACCGCGUGGGUGAAGAAGGCCUUCGGGUUGUAAAGCCCUUUUGUUGGGAAAGAAAAGCAGCAGGUUAAUACCCCGCUGUUCUGACGGUACCCAAAGAAUAAGCACCGGCUAACUUCGUG
rnacentral:rRNA from 1 species